rnacentral:rRNA from 1 species
GACGAACGCUGGCGGCAUGCCUAAUACAUGCAAGUCGAGCGAACAGAUGAAGUGCUUGCACUUCUGACGUUAGCGGCGAACGGGUGAGUAACACGUAAGGAAUCUACCUAUAAGCGGGGGAUAACAUUCGGAAACGGGUGCUAAUACCGCAUAAUAUCUUCUUCCGCAUGGAAGAAGAUUGAAAGACGGCUCUGCUGUCACUUAUAGAUGACCUUGCGGUGCAUUAGUUGGUUGGUGGGGUAACGGCCUACCAAGACGAUGAUGCAUAGCCGACCGUAGAGGGUGAUCGGCCACAUUGGGACUGAGACACGGCCCAAACUCCUACGGGAGGCAGCAGUAGGGAAUCUUCCGCAAUGGGCGAAAGCCUGACGGAGCAAUGCCGCGUGAGUGAAGAAGGCCUUCGGGUCGUAAAACUCUGUUGCCAGAGAAGAACGGCGGGUAGAGUAACUGCUAUCCGUGUGACGGUAUCUGAGAAGAAAGCCCCGGCUAACUACGUGCCAGCCGCCGCAGUAA